rnacentral:lncRNA from 1 species
CCUAGCCAGAAAAUUACUUAAAGUAGUGGUUCUCAAAGUGUGGUCUGUGACCCAGCAGCAUCAGCAUCCUCUGGGACUUUGUUAUUCAUGCAAAUCAUUGGGCAAUCAGGAACUUGUGGUUUGCAAGCUCUCCAGAUGAUUUUGAUGGCUGUGGAUGUGAGAGAGGUGGUGCUGUUUGAGACAGUCUCUGUGAAGAGGACCACCUAUGACCUGAGGUAGAGAGAGGAGUCCACAGCCAGCACCUAGAAUAUGGAUGUCAGAAAUUCGCAACUGCAAGCUCCCUCCGAGAGGGCUCCAGGACUGAAAGAUCCAGCCAGAUGUGCCUUCUGCAUCUCCAGAGGAAAUGAACUCCAGAUUACAGUUGCUCUAGAUUUGUGAGAGUGUUCACUUUCCCUAAUGCAGAGUCCCUCAGCCUGACUCAGGACCUUGGUCAUGGACGUGAUUUUUUUGCUGAAUACCCAUUAGAGCCAAGGUCCUGGGGUGCUAUAUAAAAUACCUAAACCUGGUAAGUUAAAAUUGAAACUGUGGGUAAAGUUCUGUAAACUCUGAUACACUAAGAGGUGUGAGAGGUACUGGACUAGUGAGAAUCUGAGGAGGCAAAAAUAGAAACAAAAGGAGAAUUCAAACUUCUUCCAUUCUAUCUCACUACAUGUAUCUAAGACUGAAAAACUGUAAAAGGGACAGGUGUAAGGUAGAAAAAAAGAGAAGUUUAGCCGAAUAGGACUUUUAAUCUACUAAUUCCAUUAAUAUUUCAAUUUACUCAGCAAAUAUUUAUUGAGUACCUACGUCAUCAUAUGUUCUCUUUGUCAGGUUCUAGCCCACGCUGAGGUUCGAGGGGAGUUGGUGGGCAGGUGGUGGGUAGCUGGAAAGAAACUCAAGGAAUUGCAGGCCAUUGUGACAUCACUUUAUUCUCUCUCUAGGUUCAAGCCUUUGUCUUGACUGAUCGCUCCAGCCACAGUCCCUCUUAGUGUGGCUCCAUGGCUCCUGUUCACCGCCCCCUCCACCUGCAGCUGUGCUCCCUGGCAUGCUUGCCAUUACCUGGCUUCCCUCUUCUGCCUGCAAGGCAGCCAGCUCUAUUAUAUUCUAAGGAGUUCAUUAUCACCCUUGAAGGAUCUGUACUUAGGGAUUCUGGAGUGUGCGCCUUGCUGUAAAGGCAUGGACAGUCCUUGAGGAAGAAAAGAGACACAAUUGGGAAAGAAUAUUCACCAGUAUCCCUCUAGGAUUUCCCCAAUGAACCUUGAGAGUUAUUACCCAAGGUUUUCUGAACACUAACAGAUAGUACAACCUUGAUUUUCUAUAAAUCUCACUAAGUCCCCAACAUACAAUGCUGUUCUCACCUCUGCAUAUUUUUUAUUGUUCUUCUUGAACUCAAAGGCUGU